GAUGGACGCUGGCGGCGUGCCUAAUACAUGCAAGUCGAGCGAACGGACGAGAAGCUUGCUUCUCUGAUGUUAGCGGCGGACGGGCGAGUAACACGUGGAUAACCUACCUAUAAGACUGGGAUAACUUCGGGAAACCGGAGCUAAUACCGGAUAAUAUUUUGAACCGCAUGGUUCAAAAGUGAAAGACGGUCUUGCUGUCACUUAUAGAUGCAUCCGCGCUGCAUUAGCUAGUUGGUAAGGUAACGGCUUACCAAGGCAACGAUGCAUAGCCGACCUGAGAGGGUGAUCGGCCACACUGGAACUGAGACACGGUCCAGACUCCUACGGGAGGCAGCAGUAGGGAAUCUUCCGCAAUGGGCGAAAGCCUGACGGAGCAACGCCGCGUGAGUGAUGAAGGUCUUCGGAUCGUAAAACUCUGUUAUUAGGGAAGAACAUAUGUGUAAGUAACUGUGCACAUCUUGACGGUACCUAAUCAGAAAGCCACGGCUAACUACGUG
rnacentral:rRNA from 1 species